GGUGUUGUGGUUCAGCGGUAGAACACUCUCCUAGCAAGUGUGAGGCCCUGGGUUCGAUCCUCAGUACCACAU
rfam:Ictidomys tridecemlineatus contig097640, whole genome shotgun sequence.